AAUCAACGCUGGCGGCGUGCCUAACACAUGCAAGUCGAGCGCGAAAGGGGGCAACCCCGAGUAGAGCGGCGAACGGGUGAGUAACGCGUGGGCGAUUUGCCUCCGAGUGGGGAACAACACCGGGAAACUGGUGCUAAUACCGCAUGACAUCCUCGGGUCGUACUGGGGAUCAAAAGCUGGGGACCGCAAGGCCUAGCGCUUGGAGAGAAGCCCGCGUCCGAUUAGCUAGUUGGUGGGGUAANGGCCUACCAAGGCGACGAUCGGUAGCCGGCCUGAGAGGGCGGACGGCCACACUGGGACUGAGACACGGCCCAGACUCCUACGGGAGGCAGCAGUGGGGAAUUUUU
rnacentral:rRNA from 1 species